rnacentral:rRNA from 1 species
UACGUAGGGGGCAAGCGUUGUCCGGAUUUACUGGGCGUAAAGAGCGUGUAGGCGGCCAAGCAGGUCCGUUGUGAAAACUGGAGGCUUAACCUCCAGACGUCGACGGAAACCGCGUGGCUAGAGUCCGGAAGAGGAGAGUGGAAUUCCUGGUGUAGCGGUGAAAUGCGUAGAGAUCGGCAGGAACACCCAGGGGGAAACCAGUGGACUGGCACGGUGCUGACGCUCAGGUGCGAAAGCGUGGGGAGCGAACCGG